CCGGGGACGUGUGUGUAUAUAUCCCAGAAAAGUGGGGGAAUUAUGGAAAUGAAUCUUCAACGCGAACCCAUCUGCGGCAACAAAGAGGGUUGAUUGGGAAGAACAUGAACUGAAGUGGGCUGGGGCUAAGGCUCAAAGAGACUGGUAAAUGAAAGCUCUUGCAGUGUACAUUUAAUAUUCAUGGUGGAAUACGAGUAGGAUGUUUGCAACUGCAAGUGGGUUAUCUAUUGCGUUUAACGAAAUGGGUUAUGCCAUGAGUAGAAUGGAGAUGGAAUCUGAGUUCUUUGAUAGUGGAAGAGACUUCAAUGAUAUAGGUAGCAGUCAUAUCUGCAACCAGCCUACCAGAAAUCUAGACCAUGAGAUAGCCCAGCUCACAAAGAUGCAAUCAGAACCUCAAGAGCAGCUCAGGCGGGUUGUUCCUGGAAAAAGGGAGUUACCUGUUUCCACAGUGACAAUGUUGGCAGCCAGAGAAUCUAAUUAUUCAAGAAGAGGGAGAUUCUCAUCAGCUGAUCGUUGUCACAUGCUGAGCAGAUAUUUGCCAGUCAAUGGUCCUUGGCUUGUGGACCAGAUGACAAGCCGAGCUUAUGUCUCACAGUUUUCAUCUGAUGGCUCUCUAUUUGUUGCAGGGUUUCAGGGAAGCCACAUUAGAAUUUACAAUGUGGAUAGAGGCUGGAAAGUUCAGAAGAAUAUUCUUGCCAAAAGUUUGCGUUGGACAGUGACUGAUACAUCUCUUUCCCCAGACCAACGUUAUCUUCUGGCAAUGUAGGUACCUCCAUGGACCUGGACUACCAGUUUCCCUUACACUGCCUGGCAUUAUGCUAACAUGGUUGCUGGUUCAGAAUAUUGAAAAACAAACAUGGAUGGUUGAAUAGGGUUGCCAUCUUGAGCCAGUGACCAAGGAUCGUUCCACAGUUACUUGAAACUAAAAAAAUUGGGUCCCCACCUCCAGCAUUAUUGUGAUAAACUACGUAUUGCCAAAACAAGUUGUGGUUGGUUGAGUAAGGCAACUUGAAGAUCUUAAAAUGCCAAUGUUUAUGCCAGCAUGUCACCUGUUGUCUAUAUUGUUAAUGUUGGGACUUCAGAAGCCGAGUCUUUUGCAAAUGUUACGGUAUGAAUACUGUCAUUCUUAAUAUUUAAGAACGAGUAUCUGCUU